rnacentral:rRNA from 1 species
CCCUUAGAUGUUCUGGGCCGCACGCGCGCUACACUGAUUCAUGCAACAAGUUUUGUCCUUGGCUGAUAGACCUGGGUAAUCUUUGAACGUGAAUCGUGAUGGGGAUAGAUGAUUGCAAUUAUUCAUCUUCAACGAGGAAUUCCUAGUAAACGCAAGUCAUCAGCUUGCAUUGAUUACGUCCCUGCCCUUUGUACACACCGCCCGUCGCACCUACCGAUUGAAUGGUCCGGCGAAAUCUUCGGAUCUGAGAGAUGUCUGAUUAAUUUCGGACGCCUUUUGGAAAAGUUGUUUAAACCUUACCAUUUAGAGGAAGGUGAAGUCGUAACA